rnacentral:rRNA from 1 species
AGGAAUCUUCCCCAAUGGGCGAAAGCCUGAGGGAGCGAUACCGCUUGAAGGACGAAGCCCCUCGGGGUGUAAACUUCUGAACUCGGGACGAUCAUGACGGUACCGAGGUAAUAGCACCGGCUAACUCCGUGCCAGCAGCCGCGGUAAUAAGAAGGGUGUAAGCGUUAAUCGGAAUUAAUGGGCGUAACGGGUGCGUAGGCGGUCUCGCAAGUCCGACGCGUAAGACGAAGGUUCAACCUCGGGACUG